rnacentral:rRNA from 1 species
UACGUAGGGUGCGAGCGUUAAUCGGAAUUACUGGGCGUAAAGCGUGCGCAGGCGGUUGUGCAAGACAGAGGUGAAAUCCCCGGGCUUAACCUGGGAACUGCCUUUGUGACUGCACGGCUGGAGUGUGUCAGAGGGGGGUAGAAUUCCACGUGUAGCAGUGAAAUGCGUAGAGAUGUGGAGGAAUACCGAUGGCGAAGGCAGCCUCCUGGGCCAACACUGACGCUCAUGCACGAAAGCGUGGGGAGCAAACAGG